ACUGUUGUCACAGCAACCAAGUUUAAAAUCAUGGGUGGACUGACACCGCCCAAGAAGCCCUCGACCUCACAAACACGACAAAAAGCGCUUAAAUGCACGGUCGAGUUGAAAAUCCAAGCUAUCACUUGUCCAGGGGUGGUGUUACAAUCCCAAGAGGACAUUUAUCUGAGUGUUCGAAUUAUGGGCCAGUACCAAAAGUCCAAGUGCGUUCCUCCAACGUUCCCUCUCCGGAUGCAUGAGAAAAUGUUGUUCGUGAAGACCUUUGUGGGAGUGGUUGACCCAGGUGUUAUAGCUGAGCAUCUAGAAAAUGAUACAACCUCUUUAGAGCUCAUUCAACUUGUUCCUCCAGAGGGUGAAAUCCUGGCCACGUUUGAAGACAACACCCGGGAAUUUCUGUAUCCAGGCACGCGUCUCACACCCAGAACCCCUGGUCCAGAGAGAGAGAUUCUGAUGAAGAGAUCUGUCUCUUUUCAGGGAAUCUCUCCCAAAGUGGAGUUUUCAACGACGUCCAUUAUUGAGGAGUGUGAAGUGAAACAUGGUCAGCCUGCCAUGUCCUUAUGUGGCCCUUCUUCCAAAAAAACGUGUCAUGUGAGAACGAGCCCUGCAGUUACAAAGAAGAGGAAGGCAAAAACAGCAUCAUCACCAUGUGGUUAUGCUAAACCAACGGUGGCGUCCCAAACCCGUUCACCCUCACCGUACACAAACCGCAGGAUGUGUCAGCUGUCUGAGGAAGCCAGGCAACGACUCGGACACCUUAAACUAGGACCCUACACCUUUAAGAAAGAGACGGUGCCUCAGGCUCCAUUUGUGGUUCCCCGAAGUCCAAAUUCUUCGUUGAUGGAGUCGCCCACACGUCCUGCAUCGCUGCUUUCUAAUAAAAGAAGCCCCCUCCACCUGCGAUCACCGAGCCGUACUGCAGACCUCACAGAUCCCUCUCUGCUUGGAAGUUUCCGAUCAAAGCCCACCCAGGCAAGCAGUGGUACCCAAAAUAAAUCCCCAAAAAAUAAUUCCAGCCCUGUGUCCAACACGCUCCGAGGACAAAGUCCAGUCCUGACCCGCUCCUCCCUUAAAGAACGGUUUCAAAGUCCUACAAGUCCUUCACAGGAGAUCCACAAGCGGGUGCAGAGAAUCUUAAACAUCCACGGGCCGCACCGCAAGCUUACUUUUGUACGUAACGUUCCCCCAUGCAAAGUCAAAAUGAGCUUUUGUAUAGUGUAAGCAGCGCAUGAAAACGAACACAGGGAGCACACAUACUGAUAAAUAAUGUAUACCUUAAUGUAUACAUAAUGCACUGUAAUGGAUGAAAGUGUCUGCCAAAUGCGUUAAUGUAAAUGACACUUAAGUGUACUUGAAACCUUAUCCAUUGAUUCUGUCAGAUGGUCUCUAUUCACAUCCAUUGUGUCAGGAUGUGCCACCACUAUUUCUAGGAAGUGAACGAGGUAAUCGCCUUACGUGCCUAUUCUUUGUCAUGAAUCGCUUGUGUACUUGAAUCGUGAGCAGUUCAAAAGCAUCAUCACCCACGUUGCAUUUCACCGCAACAGCCUGAUGUGAAAGCAAAGAAGUCUAAUUACUCUAAAGCUUCCCCAAAUCCCCCCUUAGAGAAAAAAAGCAAAAGGUUUUUCGUGGGAGGUAUGACGGCUGUCGGUACAGGCUCAUAUCUUUUCAGAUGGUUGAGUGAGGGAGGAAAGAUGACACUGUGACACCGCUGUGUGGCUAAAGCCCAACUCAAGAUGAAGCAAAUGCAAAGGAAGAGCUCGGGCAGAGCAUACAUGAGCCCAUCCAUGGUGACUUAGUAUUUGACAUACAGCCACCACAGGACAG